UUAAUUCGAAGCAACGCGCAGAACCUUACCAGCGUUUGACAUCCUUGUCGCGGAUUUCAGAGAUGAUUUCCUUCAGUUCGGCUGGACAAGUGACAGGUGCUGCAUGGCUGUCGUCAGCUCGUGUCGUGAGAUGUUGGGUUAAGUCCCGCAACGAGCGCAACCCUCAUCUUUAGUUGCCAUCAUUCAGUUGGGCACUCUAAAGAAACUGCCGGUGAUAAGCCGGAGGAAGGUGGGGAUGACGUCAAGUCCUCAUGGCCCUUACACGCUGGGCUACACACGUGCUACAAUGGCGGUGACAGUGGGCAGCAACCGGGCGACCGGUAGCUAAUCUCCAAAAGCCGUCUCAGUUCGGAUUGUUCUCUGCAACUCGAGAGCAUGAAGGCGGAAUCGCUAGUAAUCGCGGAUCAGCAUGCCGCGGUGAAUACGUUCCCAGGCCUUGUACACACCGCCCGUCACACCAUGGGAUUUGGAUUCACCCGAAGGCGUUGCGCUAACCUAGCAAUAGGAGGCAGGCGACCACGGUGGGUUUAGAGACUGGGGUGAAGUCGUAACAAGGUA
rnacentral:rRNA from 1 species